UGAAGCCCAGAACAGAAGAGGACGUCAUAACUCCACCUUACAUCUGAUUGUUGUGGCAGAGAACUCAACAAGGCUAAUAAUUAUCAUCACGUUGACUCUGGUGGUUGUGAUGCUGAUUCAUCUGCUUCUGUUUUGUCUGUGGAUGAGGAAGAAGAAUACUCUGAGCUCGACCUCUGAACCAAAUGAAACCAUAGAGACGUUAGAGUUGGAGUCUGAUCCUGUUUAUACCAACAUCUCAGCCUUGAAAUAAAACUGUAUGUGACUUGAGUGGAAAACAGUCACAGCAGAGGGACUCACCUGGAUGGAAACAAGGAGAAGUACAACAUUGAAGUAGUGGAGAAGCGGGGCUGUGAACAAAGUGGAUAGAUUUACUUUUAACUCCAAACAUUUUAAUUUUUAAAUUUUAUUAGCAGCAGCAGCUGGACAUCAACAACAGCAUAACUGAAGAUUGUAGAAUGUAAGCUUUAUUUUUACCUGUGCAGGUAUGUUACAUACGCUUAGUAUUUAACUCAAUAUGCUAAAUGUUUUUUAAAAUUCUAAUAUAAUAAAGUGCUUUUAAGAAAUACUGGUUGCCCUUCAUAACACACAUUUCCUGGCCGGGAAAACCAAUAAAGUCUGUUCAAAAGAUACAUGUUUAACGGGAGAAGAAUUAAGUAUUUCACACACAUGUACAGUCUAUAUUUAAACACUGAAACCAAACAGAAGCCCAGCUC